AUGGAAACGGGGAGGACGGGCCAAGAGCAAGACGCGGCUCGCACCGAGCGCCCGCGCGCCUCGCCGCCGGCGCUGCCGUGCGCGGUGCGGCUGCAGGUCACCGCGUUCUCGCCCCUCAUCGACGUCAUCAACCGCCGCGACGGCACCGUCAACCGCGGCCUCUACUCCGUCGCCGACCGCAUCCUCCGCGUGCGCGCGAGCCCCCGCCCGGACUCCUCCGGCAUCCGCUCCGCCGACUUCGACGUCGACGCGUCCCGCCGCCUCUGGGCGCGCGUCUUCUCCUUCUCCUCCCCCGCCGCGCCCCAGGCCCCGCUCCCGGUCGUCGUCUACUUCCACGGCGGCGGCUUCGCGCUGUUCUCCGCGCGCCAGUGCUACUUCGACCGCCUCUGCCGCCGCAUCUGCCGCAGCGUCGGCGCGGUCGUCGUCUCCGUCGAGUACCGCCUCGCGCCCGAGCACCCCUACCCGGCCGCCUACGACGACGCCGUGGACACGCUGCGCUUCAUCGACGCCAACGGCGUCCCGGGGCUGGACGAGGCCGUCCGCGUGGACCUCUCCAGCUGCUUCCUCGCCGGGGAGAGCGCCGGCGGCAACAUAAUCCACCACGCGGCCAACCGCUGGGCUGCAGCCGCGCCCACCCCAAACUCCGUGCGCCUCGCCGGCCUCAUCUCCGUGCAGCCGUACUUCGGCGGCGAGGAGCGCACGGAGUCGGAGCUGAGGCUGGACGGCGUGGUGCCGAUCGUGACCCUCCGGCGGGCGGACUUCUGGUGGAGGGCGUUCCUGCCGGAGGGCGCCAGCCGCGACCACCCGGCGGCGCACGUGACCGACGAGAACGCCGAGCUGGCCGAGGCGUUCCCGCCGGCGAUGGUGCUGGUCGGCGGGUUCGACCCGCUGCAGGACUGGCAGCGGCGGUACGCCGACUUGCUGCGGCGGAAGGGGAAGACCGUGGAGGUGGUGGAGUUCCCGGACGGCAUCCACGCGUUCUACCUCUUCCCGAACCUCCCCGACACCGCCAGGGCUAUCGAGCGCAUGAAGACGUUCGUCGAAAGCAACAGGACGUCGCCGUCGGCGCCAGGAUCCUUCCCGCGGGAACGAAAUUGA
rnacentral:rRNA from 1 species